rnacentral:rRNA from 1 species
UACAGAGGUCCCAAGCGUUGUUCGGAUUCACUGGGCGUAAAGGGUGCGUAGGCGGCUUGAUAAGUCAGUGGUGAAAGCUCGCAGCUUAACUGUGAAACUGCCAUUGAAACUGCCAAGCUUGAGUACGAUUGAUGUGGGCGGAAUACAUCAUGUAGCGGUGAAAUGCUUAGAUAUGAUGUAGAACACCGAUUGCGAAGGCAGCUCACAAAAUCGCAACUGACGCUGAGGCACGAAAGCGUGGGGAGCAAACAGG